rnacentral:rRNA from 1 species
ACGGGUGAGUAACGCGUGGGCAACCUACCUAUGACAGGGGGAUAACACAGGGAAACUUGUGCUAAUACCGCAUAACAUCAUGAAGAGACAUCUCUUUAUGAUCAAAGGAGCAAUCCGGUGAUAGAUGGGCCCGCGUCCGAUUAGCUAGUUGGUGAUGUAACGGACCACCAAGGCGACGAUCGGUAGCCGAACUGAGAGGUUGAUCGGCCACAUUGGGACUGAGACACGGCCCAGACUCCUACGGGAGGCAGCAGUGGGGAAUAUUGCGCAAUGGGGGAAACCCUGACGCAGCAACGCCGCGUGAAGGAUGAAGGUUUUCGGAUCGUAAACUUCUUUGAUUGGGGGCGAAUAAUGACGGUACCCAAAAAACAAGCCACGGCUAACUACGUGCCAGCAGCCGCGGUAAUACGUAGGUGGCGAGCGUUGUCCGGAAUUACUGGGUGUAAAGGGCGUGUAGGCGGGAAUGCAAGUCAGAUGUGAAAUACCGUGGCUUAACCACGGGGCUGCAUCUGAAACUGUGUUUCUUGAGUGUCGGAGAGGAAAGUGGAAUUCCCAGU